CUUGAAAUCCUCGGUGUGAUGAGCAGACCGAGGGGGAGCAGCCUGCACCAGGAGGGAGCAGCGCGAUUUCAUGGGGCAAGGCUCAGAGCGAAGCAAUUUUUUAAUGUCACAGCUCAUGACCUCCGCCUCUCCUGCCCGCUUAUAGGAUUCCUCCCUGCCCGGGCUGGGAAAUGAGACUCCCGGUGAAGAAGGUGCAGCAGCCCUUGGGAGCUGGUUUCAGUUUAAUGCCCAGCAUGUUCGGCUUUGGAUAUUCUAUUGAAAUAGAGGGAAUUUGUUAAGCUGAUGAGGGAAGGCUGCAGUAGAGAAACACAAUAGCAGAGUGGGAUUAGGCCUGGAGUAAGUGUCUGUGCUUUGGAGGAUUAAUGAGAAAACUGCAAUGGAUUUUACAUGGUGAAAAGGAUUCGCUGAAUGCUUUAGGUGAAAUGAAAUUAGUCCCACUCACGCUCUCUGAGCCCUCGAGGAGAAGCCUGCCCAUCCCAUGUAACAACCAGAUCUCCCGUAUGGAAAACUCCACUUGUGUCCUCACACACGAGGCUCUCUGGGCAUCAUCUCCCCUAACGGGCCGUGGGACACUGCCAAGAGCAUCUCUGGUCGAUAUGGUUGAGAUCCCAGGGCCGAAAAGCUCUUCUCCCCAUCUCGACUGCCUGCCGAUGGACUGCUCGUUCCCUCGGAGAGCUCAGCUUUGCUACCAGCCCGGGGCAAGCCCAGCGAAGCCAGCUCUGUGUCCUCGCAGGAGGCCAGGAGAAAUACUGGCCUCAGAAAUUGGAGAUGCUCAAUACACCUGCAGGAGAAGAGGCAAGGAAGGGCAGACACACGAAGGAGAUGGGGAGGGAUUAAGGGACAGGAUUCCCAUUAAUGCAUUGAUUUUUUUCGGGAGAAAGGUAAACGUGGGGCUGGGUGAAGCCUCCUCAGGGUCACACUGACACAUGGGGGCUAGCAGCAAGGGGCUUCUUAGCCCCCAGAGGGAAGGGACAGGCCAGAAAAAGGGGAUUUGUGAUGUUGGAGCACUUGUGCUGCAUGCAGCUGCUGCUCCUGGAGGCACAAAGAGGCCGUUAAGAGCAGCUCGGGCUGGCUCCUGCCUCCUGUGUGCUGCCUUCCAGUCCAUCAUUCUUUCUAAUUAGGCACCUCUGACACACAAUUAAUCCUAUUUGCCUUCAGGCUUUUUUAUCUUUCCUUCUGCUUUUAUCAGACAGGGAAUUAGACUCUGUUAGUAUGUAAAGUGCAUUGCAUGGACCUGGCUUUUCACGGGGAUUUGGAGACUUUUAAGAAGGCAGUGCCUAACCCA